UAUAUACUCCCUCCAUCCCAAAAUUCUUGUCUUACAUUUGUCUAGAUACGGAUGUAUCUAAUACUAAAAUGUGAGUUGAUACAUCCGUAUCUAAAAAAAUGCAAGACAAGAAUUUUGGAACGGAGGGAGUUGAUA
rfam:Triticum aestivum genome assembly, contig: Triticum_aestivum_CS42_TGACv1_scaffold_289240_4AL